rnacentral:rRNA from 1 species
GAUGAACGCUUGCGGCAGGCUUAAUACAUGCAAGUCGAACGGUAACAGGGUCUUCGGACUGCUGACGAGUGGCGGAUGGGUGAGUAACGCGUAUGCAACCUUCCUCACACCGAGAAAAAGUCGACUGAAAAGUUGAAUAAAGUCUCGUGAUGUACACGUCCCGCAUGAGAUGUGUAUGAUAGAAGCAAUUUGGUGUGAGAUGGGCAUGCGUAUCAUUAGCUAGUUGGUAGGGUAACGGCUAACCAAGGCGACGAUGAUUAGGGGGCCUGAGAGGGUGGUCCCCCACACUGGGACUGAGACACGGCCCAGACUCCUACGGGAGGCAGCAGUAGGGAAUAUUGGUCAAUGGGCGGAAGCCUGAACCAGCCAUGCCGCGUGAUGGAUGACGGCCUUAGGGUUGUAAACAUCUUUUCUGCUAGAGGAAUAUAGUUCACGUGUGGACAGACGACUGUAUAGCAGGAAUAAGGAUCGGCUAACUCCGUGCCAGCAGCCGCGGUAAUACGGAGGAUUCGAGCGUUAUCCGGAUUUACUGGGUUUAAAGGGUGCGCAGGCGGGCUCUUAAGUCAGCGGUGAAAUGUCUUGGCUUACCCUAGGAAUUGCCUUUGAUACUGUGAGUCUUGGAUAAGCAUAAGGACUGCGGAAUGCGUAGUGUAGCGGUGAAAUGCUUAGAUAUUACGUGAAAACCAAUUGCGAAGGCUGCUGUCUGUGUCUUCAUCUACGCUCAAGCACGAAGCGUGGGAGCAACAGG